CAAAUAGUCAUUUUUAAAAGGGAGAUAAUCCAAUUAAGUCCACAAGAAUUGGGCAAAGAAGAAAUCAAAAGCUGCCCGCUUUUAGAUUCCAUUUUCUGGAGCAUCUAUUUCAAGAAAUAGUGAAUGAUUUUCUUGGAAUUUUUACUACAAAUAUGCUACAUUUUUACCUGAAUCAAUCCCUUAAACUCUUUCACAAAUUUAAUCAACUCUUUCAAUGACAAUUUAUUAAUAAUUCUACGGAAGCAAGAAAAUAUCAUGAUCUUAUUAUAAUCUCGAAAUUCGUAAGCUUUUUGUCAUCACUCUGAAUUUAAUUUUAUUUAUUUAUUUUUUUGAGGGGGUAGGCUUUCUUAUGUGACGUGUAUUUCUGUAUACUACUGCCUUGUUCGCAUCCUUUGCUCCCCACCUCACACCCAUCUGUCUUCUCACCUGAUACUCUGUGUAUAUACUGAUGAAAUGAUCAAAAAUAUGAGUUGGUGUUUUUUGUGGAACUUAUCGUAUGUUUCUUGAGGAAUUUUUGGUAUGUUUCUUGAUUUCUCAGGAAACCCACAAGUUUUCACUCUUUUAUCCACUGUUUUAUUCAUUGUGGUAAAAUAAAAUUAUUGCUUAUGAAUUUCUGAUCUGGGUUUUACUUAUAUUCAUUUAUUAGUAUUUUUGCUUCUCUGUAUAAUUGGGUUGUUUUGAUUUCUUGAUAGCAUGUGUUUGACUGAAACUGUUAAUUUAUCAUGGAAUUACUUUUUGAUCCCUGUUUAAUUUUGUUGGUAUGGUCAAAAUAUUAGGCUGGUAGUUAACUUUGUCUUCUCUUUUCCUUCUAAAAAUAAGGAUCUCAUUUCUAUAGAUCAGGUUCUUCUGCUACUGGCAAUUUUCAUUACUAUUUCUGUCAUUAUUUAACUUUGUAUUUCUCAGAUUGAGGUAUUGAUCAUAACCUUUUAUUGAAUUUUAUUUAUUUUUAAUUGCUAACUGGAGAUUUUUUAUGGAUCCUGCCAUUUCACAGAUUCUUACUAAUAACGAGCUAAUGAAUUGCAUUGAUUUGGAAGUUUGUGAAAGAUUCCUGAGAAACGAAAAAGUUUCAUUAACACCUAGUUAGUUUAUCUGAAAAAUGUUAUUGGUUCCUUCAAUGCUUUGCUAUUAUUAAUGUAUAUAUUGAAACAGGGUGUCCCAGGAUUUGUAGAUUGCUUUUGUCUGGUCCUGUCGAUGUUCUUGAAGGAGUUUAGUGCAAAAUAAGUUCAAGAAAGAUGAAGAAUUCUUACGAAACGCAUAGCAAUGGACAUGUGAAAGAUCCUGGCCUACAAAUUAUCCGGCACCCAUUAUACCAAUCCCCGAACAAGUUUUCGUUGCCUUGGUUUGAUAUACGAGUGUCCUAUGUUAGAAUAAGCCAUUGCAGGGUCGAUGAUUCGGCCCCAGAAUUUCUCACUCUCAAUCAUAUCCCUCUGAUCC
rnacentral:lncRNA from 1 species